UCCCAUAUAGUCUAGGCGGUGAGGAUACCCGGCUUCGACUCAGCAGACCCUGGUUCGAGUCCCGGUGUGGGAA
rfam:Hyaloperonospora arabidopsidis Emoy2 Contig0.44, whole genome shotgun sequence.